rnacentral:rRNA from 1 species
GUGGCGAACGGGUGAGUAAUAUAUCGGAACGUGCCCAGUCGUGGGGGAUAACGCAGCGAAAGCUGUGCUAAUACCGCAUACGAUCCAUGGAUGAAAGCGGGGGACUCGCAAAGCCUCGCGCGAUUGGAGCGGCCGAUAUCAGAUUAGGUAGUUGGUGGGGUAAAAGCUCACCAAGCCGACGAUCUGUAGCUGGUCUGAGAGGACGACCAGCCACACUGGAACUGAGACACGGUCCAGACUCCUACGGGAGGCAGCAGUGGGGAAUUUUGGACAAUGGGCGCAAGCCUGAUCCAGCAAUGCCGCGUGCAGGAUGAAGGCCUUCGGGUUGUAAACUGCUUUUGUACGGAGCGAAACGGUCUGCUUUAAUACAGUGGGCUAAUGACGGUACCGUAAGAAUAAGCACCGGCUAACUACGUGCCAGCAGCCGCGGUAAUACGUAGGGUGCGAGCGUUGAUCGGAAUUACUGGGCGUAAAGCGUGCGCAGGCGGUUAUAUAAGACAGAUGUGAAAUCCCCGGGCUCAACCUGGGACCUGCAUUUGUGACUGUAUAGCUAGAGUACGGUAGAGGGGGAUGGAAUUCCACGUGUAGCAGUGAAAUGCGUAGAUAUGCGGAGGAACACCGAUGGCGAAGGCAAUCCCCUGGACCUGUACUGACGCUCAUGCACGAAAGCGUGGGGAGCAAACAGGAUUAGAUACCCUGGUAGUCCACGCCCUAAACGAUGUCAACUGGUUGUUGGGUCUUCACUGACUCAGUAACGAAGCUAACGCGUGAAGUUGACCGCCUGGGG